ACAAUGUGGUCCUUACGUAACUCGGACUAUAUAUAAUGGAAUGAAUUCUGUUUUAUAAGUUCUUCUAUGAUCUGACCCCACCACAUAACCAUGUUUGCUUUACUCCUUACAUUGACCGUUGUGUCUGCUGCUCCUGUAGAGGAAGGCAAGUAUACUUAUUGGUAUAAGAAUAGGGAGAUGUGGUAUGAUUGUCAAUGAGACAACUAUUCACCUCAGUUUGAAUUAAGCGGAUGUAAGCAAUUAUUGGCAAUCGUAUGUAGCCUUCAAUAAUAAAGAAACACAUACAAGUACCUUAUAGUAUUAUAUGAUAUAAAAGGCCCAAAAAAGAAAAAUAUGAAACAAUUCAAUUAAAAAAAUUAACGUCCUUGUUUAUAACAAAUUAAUUUACGAAAAAAAUCAAUACAUCAGACACGAGCCAACGAAAACCACUGAAAUACAGGCUACGGACUUGAGACAGGCACGUAAAGUUUAAGAAUAUGGCGAGGCUAAACACGUUUGUGAGCACCCAACACUCCCCUAACCUGAGGCAGUGGUGUUACAGCACAACAUAAGAACACUAUUAAAAUCAGUUAAAAAGGGUAUUACUCAUCAUAUCGGUACAAAGUAGAUAAACAAAAAUAGUCCGGACGUGGCAGGUUAUUUAUACAUCCCUAACAAAAAACAGAACUUACAGAUGUGAGAGUACUCGCAGUUAGUUCGUAACCAAUAAGAACUCAUAAGAAAUCAUGCAUCUAAGACUUACAUGUACGUACAAUUAUAUGAAGGUGACUAAAAUAAUUAUCAAUAUCAACGGUGACAGAGUAGUCUGAGCAGUUCAUAUAUAGUACCACUAUAUAUACGAUCAACACUGCGUUUGAAACUCGUAAGUGGUUCGAAAACGAUCUUUAUCAGCUUAUAUUUCGAUUUUUCUUGACGAAGGCCGUUGGUUCUCCAGGUCACACUAUAUAGCCAAAGAGUGCUGAACGUGAAGUUAAAUACAAACAAUCAAUCAAUUAAUCAAUAAAUCAAUAAAAAAAAAUCUGAAAAAACAGGUCAGAUCAUUUCACGUAGAAUUUGGUUUUUUUUUUAUUAAACAGAAGAAACUUUAACAAAAUAUUUAUUUCAGGAUGUUUAUUCGAUGGUACAAUGUACGCCACCGGAGAUAAAAUCAUCAUCAGUCACUGCCUUGGUGCAAUGACAUGUAUGGGCAACAAUAUAUACUCAAGCCUGGAACAAUAUGGGUACUAUAACUUGUUGUUUUUUUAAAUACAUAUGUUUUUGAAAUUAACAAACUAUUCGUCGCUUUCUAAAUAUAGAUAAUCGUAACACUUUUUUCAUCUUCUAUCUUUUAACUUUAAUUUUAAGAUCAAUUUACGGCAACGAAGAUAAACGAUUUUCUCUAAUUCUUACACGAUUUAUUCUGUUCGUAACCUGUUGAUUAUUUUCAUUUCAUCAACGUGUGAUUCGUUUGGUCUCAGUUCUUUAUUGGUCAAGAAUCGUUUAGGCAUCAAAUGUUUUUGCUAAACCUCUCAGUAUCCUAUUGUGAUGUCAUGAAUAAGGAACAAUAUAGAAAGAACUAUCUUUUUGCAUUCGAAAAGAAGGAUUGAGUUUGUCUGCUAUCGUUUAAAAAUUACUAGAGAAACAGAUUCCACAACCAAUAUUGUGCAAUACGAUAUAUAUCCACUCUCGACAGUUAAAUUUUACAUCUCGGCGAGCCUCAAAUUGAACUACCUCGAGUGGAUAGAUAUCGUAUCACACUCGAUACAGUGAUGGAAUCUAAAUGUUACCAGCAGAUGUCAGUUGUGAUAACUAGUCUUGUCUUGCUUGUAUCCAUUAACUAUUUGUAUUUUCAGAGGCAUAUGUCCUUCAACAAAACGAUCAACUGGACAAAGUAAGUAAUAACUAAAUUUCUACGAAGCUACACAAAACCCCUUACAAAUAUAGAUUUAUUUCGUCUUCAACAUUGUUCAACUACUAAAUUGUCUAUUAUUCUUACCAGCACACUUGGUACAAUUAAAAACCUGAUAAUAAAUUGUUCAAAUAAGGCCUUCGAAAAUAGUGGAAUAAAUUACUUUUGGAGUGUCAAGAACUCGUUGGAAGUACUUGAUAAAUUGCAUGCUUAUUUGGUGAUUUUGAAUCUGUUCAAAGUUUUGAUUUUUCUACCUGUAUAUCCACAUUGCCUCACAUUCUCAUUAAGAAAAAUUCACACACCUAAUUAAAUGGGCAUUAAAAAAUCAGAAUGUGAAUAUAUAUGUCAAACUCUUUUAGGUCAUUUUUAGUAGCAAUAAACAAAAAAACUAUGUUAAUUGGACAUGCUUUGAUACUAUAUAUGCCCUUGAAUUUUUACUAGAUAACAUUUUUGUUCGCUUUGGGGAUUCCGUAUAUCGUCAGAUUAUCGGAAUUCCAAUGGGGACUAACUGUGCACCACUUAUUGCGGACCUGUUUUUGUAUUGUUAUGAGUUACAAUUUAUGACAAAAAUAAGCAAAGACCCAUCGAAACAACAUCUGAUAAACAAAUUUAAUAAUACUUUUAGAUAUUUGGAUGAUAUUUUGGCUCUUAAUAAUGACGACUUCAGUAUGUAUAUUAAUGAAAUUUAUCCUGUUGAACUUACUUUAAAUAAAGCUAAUACUAACAAUGACCACUGCCUUUUCUCGAUCUUGAUAUCUAUAUCACUAAUGGAAAGCUGAAUACUAAAAUUUAUGAUAAAAGGGAUGAUUUUUCAUUUCCUAUCGUUAUUAUCCGUUUUUAGAUGGUGACGUUCCCUUGUCACCAUCUUUACGGUGUUUAUAUAUCUCAACUUGUACGAUUAGCUCGUGUAUGUAAAUGUUUUAGAUUUUAACGAGAAUAUUUAUGUAUUACUGAAAAAUUAUUACACCAGGGUUUUCGAUAUCACAAACUAGUCAAAACAUUUACUAAAUUUAUCAUCGGUAUAAAGACAUCAUUCGUAAAUAUAGCUCAACAUGCGACUUCUAAUACGUUCAGGUAUUUCACAUCCAAUUUUUUAUGGAAAUAUCUUUAUAAAGCACAAAGGUGUCAGUAUUCACCUCAGAAACUUACAACAAAACCUUUGAAUAGACUUAUUAAGAAGGGAUAUAAUUACGAUACUGUUGUCAAGUCAUUAAGAUUGCAAUUUUGGCGUUAAUAUUGAGUCACUGAUAAGGUCUUUGCAUCGGAACUAAACACAUUUAUUCUAAAAACAGUUGUUGGCAUGACACGGGUUAUGUUCUUCUCAUAUAUGUUAUGAUGGUAUGAUACUAAACCCCUAACGGGAAGGAUUGUGCCUGAUGUUCAUAUGAUGAAAUCAUAAUCUUUCAGUCAGUUUAAUUGAAGUCUGGAGCUGGCAUGUCAGUUAACUGCUAGUAGUCUGUUGUUUUAUGUAUUAUGUCAUUUUGUUUAUUUUCUUUGGUUACAUCUUCUGACAUAGACUCGGACUUCUCUUGAACUGAAUUUUAAUGUGUGUAUUUUAUGCGUUUACUUUUCUACAUGGUUAGAGGAAUAGGGGAGGGUUGAGAUCUCACAAACAUGUUUAACCCGCCGCAUUUUUGCGCCUGUCCCAAGUCAGGAGCCCUGGCUUUUGUUAAUCUUGUAUUAUUUUAAUUUUAGUUUAUUGUGUACAAUUUGGAAAUUAGUAUGCGUUCAUUAUCACUGGUAUAUAUAUGUUUUAGGGGCCAGCUGAAGACGCCUCCGGUGCGGGAAUUUCUCGCUACAUUGAAGACCUGUUGGUGACCCUCUGCUGUUGUUUUUUAUUUGGUCGGGUUGUUGUCUCUUUGACACAUUCCCCAUUUUCAUUCUCAAUUUUAUUCAUAAAGGUGAUAUUGCAAUAUUUGUGGUUGCGUUUAUAAGUUUUUUUUCUCGAUUUGGAAGUUUUAAACGUACCCUUGCUAACUUCCGACUUUUUGUGUUUUAUCGAAGAGAUUACAUUGAUAUAUUUCUGACUUGAUGUUUUACUCUUUUUAUAGAUAAAAAGGAUAAUGCUUGGUUGAGAUUUACUUUAACAAAUGUAUUUUAUCUUCACAAACUGUUCAAGUGACUCCAUCAAAUGAAAAAAAAAAUGUGCAUAACAAAUUGUAAACAAAAAGUAUGCAAGUUUUGCAUUUUCUGUUUUAAAUUUCAGCUGGAUGUUUGUUUGACGGUAAAAUUUACAAUAAGAACGACGUUAUCACAAUCAGUCAUUGUUUGGCUCAAAUGGAAUGCUUGGGAUUCAAUUCCUAUGGAGAGAUUAAAAGUCUUGGGUCAGUAAAAAAAGGCUUUUAUAUGAGAUAUACUGUAUGCAUUUUGCUCAGUGUACUUGAUUCUGUAAGAUUGUUGAAUAAUACAACAAAAAAAACAUCAAAAGAAAGAGUUGAUAUCCAUUGUUUAGUAUAUAUAUUUAAUUUCAAGGAUCUUGUAUAGAAAACAAAAUGUAGAAAUUCUUUGAUCUAGAGAGGCGAAAAAUUACAGAUUAAAAGAUUGAAGCUGUAACAUUAAAUGAUAUUUGAGUUUAUUUUAAAUUUAAAGAGAGUUAUAAAUAAUUAAAAAGCACCAUUGAUAUCAAAACAAAACUCAAAUCCGAAAAGAUACAAGGUUGGACAAGACAAAUAAACAACGAAUACUGUCCACAAUUUUUCAAGACCGUCCAAAACUCCGAUUGAGCUAGAUAUAUAACCUGGUUUAAUCCAUCAUUUCUUACAUAUUAAGAAUUAAGACAUUAUCAGGAAUAUGACAGUUGUCAUGCAUUCGUUUGAUGUGUUUGGGCUUUUGAUUUUUCCAUUUUAUAACGAACUUUCACGUUUGGAUUGACCUCGGAGUUCGGUAUUAUUGUUAUUUUAUUUUUUAAUGAUUUAAUUGUUUUUUUUUUACAGUGGAAUAUGUCCAGUAAAAGACAGACGGGAUGUAAAUGGACAGAGUAAGUUUUCUUUGUGAAUAUUUGCUUCAGUACUUCUUCUAAUACUAUUUAUAAAACACCAAAAAUCAUACCAUUGCUUCGUGCUGAAAGUCUCACUCUGACUUAUAGAUGAAGAACAACAAUAACAGCGCUGUACAUUUGAUUUGUAUGUUUUUUGUUUUUGUGCAUAUAUUGAUGUGUUUUAAAGACAAAUACCCCAUAUCCCGUAUUUUUAUGCCCCAUUUAUGAGCAUUAUGUUUUUUAGUCUGUGCCUCCGUCCGUUCGUCCGUUCGUCCGUCAGGUUAAAGUUUUCAGGUUAAAGUUUUUGGUCGAGGUAGUUUUUGAUGAAGUUGUAGUCCAAUCAACUUGAAACUUAGUACACAUGUUCCCUAUGAUAUGAUCUUUCUAAUUGUGAUGCCAAAUUAGAGAUUUUCUCCCAUUUUCACGGUCCACUAAACAUAGAAAAUGAUAGUGCGGAUGGGGCAUCCGUGUACUGGGGACACAUUCUUGUUUUCUCGACAUUUUGUUUAAUUCCAUUUAUGUAUAUCAUAAUGAAAUGUUCGGAGGGUUCUCCCCUUUAUUCUCUUACACGAACACACACACACACAUUAUGUUUUAAUGAAUUUCAGCUGGGUGUUUGUUUGAUGGCAGAGUAUAUGCAGCUAAUGAGGAAAUUAUUAUACCGUCCUGUUUGGGUAAAAUGACAUGUUUAGGAAACAAUAAUCUUGGAUCUAUUACAUCACUGUAGUAAGUAUAGAGUGGGGUGCUCAUUUUCGCCAUAUCUUUCCAUGUUUUCUACAGUUUAUGUUCAGGUCUAUAUGUUUUUGAAGUAUACUGAUAUUUCUGUAUGAAGAUAACUUCAAAUGCAAAAUAUUCUUACGCUUGAAAACGUGUUGUUUGAAAAAUCAUCUGAAAAGUUAGAUUUAAGGAUGUUUGCAAUUGCCUGAUGUUUUAUCAAUGGGGGACACAUAUUCGCCGUUUUUAUAUAUCUAUUUAAACCCAAAUAACUGCAGCUUUAAACAAUAUUUUUCAAAUCAACUUCAUUAUAGAUGGCAAUAGCAUACAUUUGAAGUGUCAGAACUGAAAUUUAGGCAAUCAGUAAAAAUUACUAAGAAUGCAUCUUUGAAAUUUGUUUUUCAUUCAGGAAAUUGGCCGAAAAUCGUUGUCCGUUUUUCAGUUCUUUGGGGUAAGUGCCGCAAUUUUGUCGUAGUUUAAAAAAUAACCAUAUUUGUUAUGAAAAUCUAAGUCACCAGCAUAUUUCUUCCAUUUCAGCCAUCUUUUGAAGUAUACACUCAAAUAGUAAAACGGCGAAAUUGUGUCCCCGGCGAAUAUGCGCACCCCACUCUACAUUUUAUGUACAUAUGCCUUUUUUAUUAACAUAGUGAAAACCUGUUGGCAAACAAACCGAUGUAUAGACAUCUCUCAUUGUGGUGCAAAAAAAAAUGUUGUCUUAGACAAUACUCAUUUUGUUGGCAUUUGUUUUUUCUUCGGUCAUUGUUUAAAUACGUUAUCGAUUCGUUUAACGUUGGGAAUGCAUAGCAUAAGGAUGUGCUUUACCUUUUGAAAUAAGUUUUCUCCAGGUGCAACUAAACUUCAAAACCAAAUCUUUAUAUCUAUGAAAAAAUUUAGUAAAAGUUUAAAGUAAUUUGUGGUACCGGUAACGGAAUCACUGACUGAAUAAUUUACCAGUAAUAUAUAGAUUGCGUUCGUAAAAAGGUAAAAGUUUAGUUUAACAUAUAGUAAUUUGGAAUUUCUAUUACUUGCUUUCUGUUUGAUUGAUGCUAUGAGUCAACGUAUAUGGUUUAGGUGAAUAUACUUUUCAAAUAACCUUGUAUUAUAAAGUUUGGAGUCACCCUUAAAACAAAUCGCUAUUUCCGUUGAAAAAAAACUAUCAGUGCUAUAUAAUCCAGAGGAAGCGAAUUGUGGAUUUAAAGUAAAUCUUCUUUAUUACUUUUUAAGUGGUGUAUGUCCGCAGACUAAACGCUCAGUAGAUGGACAAAGUGAGUAUAUGUAACUAUUUGUUGCUGCAUGUGUCUGUCUAUAACACGAUGAGUUCUUAUAAUAGUUGUUUAUCAACCACCUCACUUUAUAAUUUUAAAAACGCAUAUGUUAUGACAGACUUGAAGCAAAAUAGAUCUACUUAAAUUGACCCAUGGUUUCAUGGUUCUAAUAUUGGAGAAACUGAAUGCAGUUUUCAAUUUUCUACAAAUUUAACUUCAUAUUAAAACAAUUAUUCUGUACAAAAUAAGAAAAAGUCUUACUUUCUUCAGCUAGCUUAUGAAUAAUUUGAUCUUUUUAUAUCCCUUACAUAUUUUAUAAUUCAUAAACCAAUACAUUGGAAGAUUUUAAGUAUUAACUUGAUCAAAACAAUAUGAAAAUGAGACUUUUUACAAGUAAUUAUUAAUUGUAGGUGGAUGUCUAUUUGAUGGUACGGUUUAUGCCAAAGGAGAUGUGAUACCUAUAAAAGGAACUAAUGCUCGUGUGGUGUGCCAAGGAAACAAUAUCUAUACCGAACAAUUAUAAAGUAGAGGUAAGAGGUUAGUUAAUAUAAAUCUAUAAAUCCAGAUUCAAUUCACAAUUUUAUACACAAGGAAAUGCCUGUACCAAGUAAGAAAUAGGACAAUUAUAUUCCAGUCGUUUAAUGUGUUUGAGCUUUUAAUUUUGCUAUUUGAUAAGGGACGUUCCGUGUUGAAUUUACCUAUAUUUUUGUAAUUUUACUUUGUAUUUAUACAUUUCAAAAAGGCAUUUUCUAUUUUCAAUAAUGUAUCCAUCUAUCUUUUGAAAGAAUAUUUGUAUUCAAAGAUGGGAUCAGUUUAAAAAAUUGAUAGGCAAUAUUGAACUUUGAAUAUGUAAUUUAUGUGUUUGUUUUUUUUUUCAGAAUCUUUCCCUCUAAAGUCACAUCACAAUCGGUGGUCAGUUGCCUGAUUUAUUGUAUAGAAAAGUCAUUUGCAUAAAACUUUGUUUUUAUUUAUAAAUGCAACAAUAGACAACAGCUGCAAAAACAACAUAACAGUAAAUUGUUUUUAUA
rnacentral:lncRNA from 1 species